AUUGAACGCUGGCGGCAGGCCUAAUACAUGCAAGUCGAAGGUAGUGGCGGACGGGUGAGCAAUAGAUUGGAACCUGCUUUACCGAGGGGGAUAACGAGGGGAACCGUUAGCUAAUACCGCAUACCAUCGUAUGGGCCGAUGUCGGAUUAGCUAGUUGGUGGGGUAAAGGCCCACCAAGGCGUCGAUCCCUAGCUGGUCUGAGAGGUUGACCGGCCACACUGGAACUGAGACACGGUCCAGACUCCUACGGGAGGCAGCAGUGGGGAAUAUUGGGCAAUGGGCGAAAGCCUGACCCAGCCAUGCCGCGUGUGUGAAGAAGGUCUUCGGAUUGUAAAGCACUUUAAGUUGGGAGGCGUUACCCACAGAAUAAGCACCGGCUAACUUCGUGCCAGCAGCCGCGGUAAUUC
rnacentral:rRNA from 1 species